UCAAAAAAAAUUUAUUUACUUAAUUUAAUUAAUGAAGAAAAAAUCAUUGACCAAUUGAAAACCAAAAAAUUAUAUUAAAAAUAAUUGAAAUAAAUUUUAUUAAAUCGGAAAAGUCAAUGGACUUUUAAUUAGGAUUUUUUAUAGAAGGGAAAUUCAUCAAUCACAAGAGAUGACUUGGGAUCAUAAAUGAAACGAAGGCACAUGUUCAAUAAAGGGCACAACAGCUGCAUGUUUCAUGUCACUACUAAAAAGAUAUAGGGUGAGUACUUGUCCUUGUAUGACCUUGAAUUUGGUAGAGUGCUUGGUCCAGAAUUUACUAGGCUAGCAAGGCAGAAGGCCGCCGAAGGGAAGAUGAAGCACAGUCGAUUCCCCCAGCUGAGUUUGCUUUGUAAUAAACUCAAGUGAGUAAGGGGGCAAUCCCUUGGCGGAUCAUGAUUCUCUCCUGAUCUGAUUCCUCCUGAACAAAUAUACAUGUGGUAAUUGGUUAUU
rnacentral:lncRNA from 1 species